rnacentral:tRNA from 1 species
UAAUAACUAGUUUAAAGGAACAAUGUAAUUUGACUACAAAAGAGAUAGUGCAACUCUAUCGUUAUUAA